rnacentral:rRNA from 1 species
UACGUAGGGUCCGAGCGUUGUCCGGAAUUAUUGGGCGUAAAGAGCUCGUAGGCGGUUUGUCGCGUCUGCUGUGAAAACCCGGGGCUCAACUCCGGGCCUGCAGCCGAUACGGGCAGACUAGAGUUCGGCAGGGGAGACUGGAAUUCCUGGUGUAGCGGUGAAAUGCGCAGAUAUCAGGAGGAACACCGGUGGCGAAGGCGGGUCUCUGGGUCGAUACUGACGCUGAGGAGCGAAAGCGUGGGGAGCGAACAGG